AGUACAUAGGAUUAAAGCUAUGCAUUAGCUUAGUUGUAAACGCUGAUUUCAUGAGAACUGCAUGGCACAGUAAGUUUGGUUACACUGUUCGCUUAAAGACAGGUUAAACUAACAGAGUGGGUACGCAGUAGGACAGCAAGUUCGUUUCACAGCCUAUUGAUAACUUUGUUGUGAGGUCUGCUUGACAGUUUAGUCUUUUAGGGUUCAAGAGACACUUUCAUGUAAGUGUAUCACUACACUGAACAUAGAAAGAAUCUUUUCAUGAGGCUCUCCCAGGCCCCACCUUUUGUGCUUUUUGUUUAUAGCAUUUCCUGAGUCUUUCAAUCAUUUUCAAGUAAUAUUUAAGUAUACCUUUCCCCUUUGUAGUCACAAGAUGUAUUUCAUUUCUACCUAGUUCUCACCUAAUAUAUCUUCCAGAGCUCACUUAGCAAUUUAAUUUGAUUCUCUUUCUAACAGCACACUGAAGAGAUGUUCACAUUCAAAACCAGCAGGCUCUCUUCCUGUCAAUAUUGAUCUUCAGUGAGAUGAGGAACCACAUAGACCCUGGCCAUACCUUCCUGUCACGCUGUCACUCUGCUCCUGUUGGACCUCUGUGCCUACUCAGAGCCCCUUCACACACCUUCACCUCCUCUUUAAAGGUUGCUUCAGGGUUCGUGGAGUUGUGCCAUCAUCUCUGUUAAUGGGUAGUGCUCUUCCUCCUUCUGGAAAUCUGUGUGGCCCCCUCUCCAUCUCCAGGCCUGUCUCUACCCAGAGAAUGGUUGCUGGAGGAACUCAGAGGAGCCAUACCACUCUGUACCAGACACGCGCACAGCCUGAGUCACCCCUGUUCACUUUCUCACGUGAUAACAGAUAAUCUUCCAAGAAAAACAAAUGUGCCUGCUUGAGGAGGUUACCCUGCAGGGCAGGGUGACGACCAGGGAGACAGAGUCCUAAACUGCAGAAGUCCUAAACAAGAAGCUCCCCGAGAAAAAUGUUCCAGAUAUAGUACCUCUGGGAUAGACAGGAAUCAAGAUUCUUCUGACCUGGGGCAACAUGGGCUCCUGGAGGCAGAGAGGGCAGAUGUCAGUAGACUGAGGAACGGACGGGCAGGUAAGGGUGGGGUCUGUGUGGGUCCCUCAUGCACCCACCUUCUCACUCCUCAUCCUGCAGGAGAAUCACGAAUGCAAACAGGAAAUGUCCUUUGUUCAGUGUGCUAGUGAGAAGAGAACUUCAUCAAAUCACACAGCGUGAAACAGUACGGCACGUGGCUGAGUGACGUGGCAGUCGGUGUGUAGACAGACGGUGAUGGCCUGGAGCCAGUGUGAGAGAUGACUGCUUUCAGGAAUUCUGCAAAGUGGUAAUUAAACCUAGCUAUUACUGAAAAUUAAAUUACAUAAAAAUUUAAUAAAUUACAUUGUAUUAUAGAGGCAAUAAAUAUUCAAAACCACG